CCCCUUCGAAAUUCAACACAGGAUAUGCUUAAGAAAUCGUUUCCUUUUUAAGGUCAUAAGUAUUUUCUCCUGCAAUUAUUUUUUUUCUGAAAAUUUUAGAGGUGGUUCAUUAAUCCAUCUGGGUUUGAAUUUUGUAUAUGAUGUGAUGUAGGAAGCCAGGUAGUAGAAUUAAAAGCCAUAAAUUAAAAGCCUUUCCUUGGAAAGGAAAAAUCAGAGCUGUCAGUAUAUUCAGGAGACUCAAGCGAACUAAUUGGAAAAUUAUUAGAAUGCACGAGAGUUUAGGAGAGUGCCUAGAUUCCAAAUAAAUACACUAAAUAAAUUGAUUUUUUGUGUACCAGCUAUAACUAAUUAGUAAAUAUUCAAGUUCACAGCACAAAAAAGCAUAAAGUACCUAAAAGUAAUCUCACCAAGAAGAGUGUAGAAACCAAUGAAGAGUUGGAGAGAUUUGGGCCAUGCUCUAUUGAAAAAGCACAAGGCUGUAAAAAACUGGUCCUUCCCAAAUGAAUUUGUAGGUUUAACUCAAUCCUAAUAAAAAUUCCAGUUGGGUAUUUUAAGGGAACUUUAUAUUAUUGUGCUAAAAGAGUCUCAAAAAAUAAGGAGGAGAGAUAGCUAAGAUAAUGUUGAAAAAGAACAAUGUUAAUAGACUUGUGUCUCCAAAUAUUAAAAUCUGUUAUAAAACUCAUGCUUGUCCCAGAACUGGUGUUCAGAUGGCUGGAAUAGAAUGGAGAGCCCUCUUUAGUGUUAAGAACUCUUUAGUUAAGUAGCCCUUUAGUAUUAAAAAAAAAAAAAAAAAAAUAGUGUACUAUCAAGGAGUCAUCAAAAAUUUGGCUUAAUUUAUUCAA